CUUGAUAGUUCACUACAUCCACUAUCCGCCCGGGUACUACGAGCACUAGCUUAAAACCCAAAGGACUUGGCGGUGCUUUAGAUCCACCUAGAGGAGCCUGUUCUAGAACCGAUAACCCCCGUUAAACCUCACCCUCUCUUGUCCUUCCCGUCUAUAUACCGCCGUCGUCAGCUUACCCUAUGAAGGAGCCACAGUAAGCAAAACUAGCACAACUCAAAACGCCAGGUCGAGGUGUAGCAUACGAGAGGGGAAGAAAUGGGCUACAUUCCCUGCCACAGGGAAUACGAACAAUACAAUGAAAUAUGAAUUAGAAGGAGGAUUUAGCAGUAAGCAGAAAAUAGAGCG
rnacentral:rRNA from 1 species